GACGAACGCUGGCGGCGUGCUUAACACAUGCAAGUCGAACGGUAAGGCCCUUCGGGGUACACGAGUGGCGAACGGGUGAGUAACACGUGGGUGAUCUGCCCUGCACUUCGGGAUAAGCCUGGGAAACUGGGUCUAAUACCGGAUAGGACCACUGCCUGCAUGGGUGGUGGUGGGAAGCUUUUGCGGUGUGGGAUGGGCCCGCGGCCUAUCAGCUUGUUGGUGGGGUGAUGGCCUACCAAGGCGACGACGGGUAGCCGGCCUGAGAGGGUGACCGGCCAAACUGGGACUGAGAUACGGCCCAGACUCCUACGGGAGGCAGCAGUGGGGAAUAUUGCACAAUGGGCGCAAGCCUGAUGCAGCGACGCCGCGUGAGGGAUGACGGCCUUCGGGUUGUAAACCUCUUUCAGCACCGACGAAGCGCAAGUGACGGUAGGUGCAGAAGAAGGACCGGCCAACUACGAGCCAGCCGCCGCGGUAA
rnacentral:rRNA from 1 species